UUGAAACACCGGUUUUCCUGCGAUCACCGAAGUUAAGCAACGUCGAACCUGGUCAGUACCUAGAUGGGUGACGACCACUUGGGAAUGCCAGGUGCUAUAA